GCCGGGGUGCCCGAGCGGACUAAGGGGGUAGGCUCGAGACCCAACACAGAAAACCCUCCGCAAAACAAGAGGGUUUUCCGGCUAACCAGAAACGAGAGACCUACUGCCCCGCGGAGGGGCGCGCGGGUUCGAAUCCCGCCCCCGGCG
rnacentral:tRNA from 1 species